rnacentral:misc_RNA from 1 species
GAUGAAGAACGCAGCGAAAUGCGAUAAGUAAUGUGAAUUGCAGAAUCCAGUGAAUCAUCGAAUCUUUGAACGCACAUUGCGCCCGCCAGCAUUCUGGCGGGCAUGCCUGUUCGAGCGUCAUUUCAACCCUCGACCUCCCUUUGGGGAAGUCGGCGUUGGGGACCGGCAGCACACCGCCGGCCCUGAAAUGGAGUAGCGGCCCGUCCGCGGCGACCUCUGCGUAGUAAACCAACUCGCACCGGAACCCCGACGUGGCCACGCCGUAAAACACCCAACUUCUGAACGUUGACCUCGAAUCAGGUAGGACUACCCGCUGAACUUAAGCAUAUCAAUAAGCGGAGGA